rnacentral:lncRNA from 1 species
CCAGGCACGUGGCUUGGCUUGUGGUGUGAGGGGUGGCCAUUGGGUCCAUUGCUGUGGUGUCACUGUUUGCUUCUCCGCACCAAGAGACUCCACCUGGGACCCGCCUGCUAGGGGCUAGCGUCAGGGUUAGGUUAGGGAGGAGGUGGCUUCAUCUGAGCUCCAGGACAUUGGCUGGAGCUUCCUUUGCUUUUCUGUCACGGUGUGGUCCCCAGUCCUUGGGACAAACUCACCUGAGUCCCUGAGGUUUCCCCCUCCUGCUGCCCCUGGCCUGAGCUCUGAGAAGCCUGACCCCAACCCUCCCAGAGCUUCCCUCGAGGGGCCCUUCGUAGGCUGCCCUGUGUUCACUACCCUCCCAGGUCCAAGUCUCACCUCCUCCAGAAGGCCUCCCAGGACUGCUGGCCCCAGACACAGAACUCCCAAGGGAAGGCUCUUCCACUAAAAGUCCAGCUGCAGCGAUAAUGAUGAGUUUGGAGAGGGCUGCAGACCCUGAGGCAGGGGUUGGUGCAGGGGCUGGACCUGAAACUGGGUUCACACAACAAGCUCGGACUCCUCUUAACACUCCUGAUUGGUGACAUUAUGGGGUCUUGGAUGCCUCCUCCUCUCUGUCCCUCGUACUGCCCCUGCCACCUGGGACUCCACCAAGUUCCUUCUCCACCAGCCAUGAGGAGAGCCUGCCCAGGGGCCAGCACUCUCUCCCUGAGCCUUAGAACCAGGAGGAUUCUCACUGCUUCUAUGUCACAGGAUAUUGCUCAGCCAAAGGGCCAGCAUCCCAGUGAAGAAGAUCAGAAAGAGGCUUCCGGUCACCAGGAGACUCCUGGGGAGGGCCUAGGCUGGGAGUGGGACACGGGUGGGGUUGGAUGGAAGAGUACCAGAUUCCGUCUCUAGAGCCUUUGAGGUCACUCCUGACGCUGACAUGGCUGUGAAGAGCUGGGUGCCAGGCAUUACUGCCUCCAAGGUUGCUUUGCGAGGAAUAGGUGGGGCAUCAGGAAGAAGCCAGUUGCAGGCAAGGCCUCUGCUGAUGCUGCUUUUUUCUCCUGUACCCAUCCAUGGGAGGGAGCUGUGAGAUGGCCUGGCAGAACCCGCUCUUGGACCCCACAGAAUGAGAGGCUCACCCUGCACAGGAACAUCCUGGGGCAGCAGGCUCAGCACAUUUUAAAUUUUGAGUAUGAACAAAGUAAACUUCAGGGUUAAAAAAAAACACAAAAAUUUGUCGAGC